UAGGUGGCGAGCGUUGUCCGGAAUUACUGGGUGUAAAGGGAGCGCAGGCGGGACAGCAAGUUGGAUGUGAAAUACCGGAGCUUAACUUCGGAGCUGCAUCCAAAACUGUUGUUCUUGAGUGGAGUAGAGGCAAGCGGAAUUCCGAGUGUAGCGGUGAAAUGCGUAGAUAUUCGGAGGAACACCAGUGGCGAAGGCGGCUUGCUGGGCUCUAACUGACGCUGAGGCUCGAAAGUGUGGGGAGCAAA
rnacentral:rRNA from 1 species